CAUUGAAACUCCAGUUCACGUACGAUUACCGAAGUUAAGCACCGUCGAGCCUGGUCAAUAUUUAGAUGGGUGGCCGCUUUGGAAUACAUUGUGUUGUAAG